rnacentral:rRNA from 1 species
UGGGGAAUAUUGCACAAUGGGCGCAAGCCUGAUGCAGCCAUGCCGCGUGUGUGAAGAAGGCCUUCGGUUGUAAAGCACUUUCAGCGAGGAGGAAGGUGGUGAGCUUAAUACGCUCAUCAAUUGACGUUACUCGCAGAAGAAGCACCGGCUAACUCCGUGCCAGCAGCCGCGGUAAUACGGAGGGUGCAAGCGUUAAUCGGAAUUACUGGGCGUAAAGCGCACGCAGGCGGUUUGUUAAGUCAGAUGUGAAAUCCCCGGGCUCAACCUGGGAACUGCAUUUGAAACUGGCAAGCUAGAGUCCCGUAGAGGGGGGUAGAAUUCCAGGUGUAGCGGUGAAAUGCGUAGAGAUCUGGAGGAAUACCGGUGGCGAAGGCGGCCCCCUGGACGAAGACUGACGCUCAGGUGCGAAAAGCGUGGGGAGCAAAACAGGAUUAGAUACCCCUGGUAGUCCACGCUGUAAACGAUGUCGAUUUUGGAGGUUGUGCCCUUGAGGCGUGGCUUCCGGAGCUAACGCGUUAAAUCGACCGCCUGGGGAGUACGGCCGCAAGGUUAAAACUC